rnacentral:lncRNA from 1 species
UGGAAUGUAAAGCAAUUACAAAUAAAUGGUUCACAAAACAUACAUUUCUUCUCAGAUAUUCCUUUCGUUCGAACGCUGAGUACUUAGAAUUUUCAGAGAGAGAGUUUUGUAUAAAAUUUUGUGACCUUUGUUCUGAAUGAAAAACUGCUAUAAAUACUAGAACACAGUGGUAACUGCCUCUUGAUCAUCUGGACGGUCUUCGAUCUGCCACGUCGACCCACGUUCUCCACUUUCGUCCUUCACUUCUUCAGCGCGCGCCAAUGCUUAUUGGGCCGUUGCUAUUUCUC